rnacentral:lncRNA from 1 species
AGGAACAAAAGACUUGGCAGGUGUCGCCCAAUUGUCUAGGCUCAUGGCACUGUGUCUCGUCUUUCUGGCACCUGUGAGGGCAGAACUGUCUUUGGGUCCCAACCCUCCUAAGCAUGGGAGGUUGUGGGUAUAAGGUGGAUUCUCUUCCUUCCCAUUAGGGGCUCCAAGGCCUUUGGUCAGGCUGCUGCUGUACUUAGAGGUUCCUAGGAGUUGUUCCUGAGCUGCUGCCCACUCAGCCUGCCGGCAGGUUGUACUUUCCCCAGCUGGCCCUAUGGCGGAGGCUAGGCCAGCUGAGCUGCAUGUCCAGACCUGCUCUGAAUCUGCGCUCCUGGCUGCUGACCAUCCUCCACUACCUCCUGCCCUUCCGUGUGCUCGGGCCCCACAGCCAGGUGGGAUGGAGGCCCCUGAGCAGGGUAAGUGUAAAUAGGCCUCCUG